rfam:Brachypodium distachyon strain Bd21 chromosome 3, whole genome shotgun sequence.
CAUAUACUCCCUCCGUACAACAAAAGAUGUCUCAAGUUUGACUAAAUUUAAAUGCAUCUAUACACAAAGUAAUGUCUGCAUACAUCCAAAUUUUGAUAAACUUGAGACAUCUUUUGUUGGACGGACAGAGUAUGAC